UACGUAGGUGGCAAGCGUUAUCCGGAAUUACUGGGUGUAAAGGGAGCGUAGACGGUAAUGUAAGUCUGGAGUGAAAGGCGGGGGCCCAACCCCCGGACUGCUCUGGAAACUAUGUUACUAGAGUGCAGGAGAGGUAAGCGGAAUUCCUAGUGUAGCGGUGAAAUGCGUAGAGAUUAGGAAGAACACCAGUGGCGAAGGCGAUUCUCUGGACUGUAACUGACGCUGAGGCUCGAAAGCGUGGGGAGCAAGCAGG
rnacentral:rRNA from 1 species